rnacentral:rRNA from 1 species
UACGGAGGAUCCAAGCGUUAUCCGGAAUCACUGGGUUUAAAGGGUCCGUAGGCGGUUUGGUAAGUCAGUGGUGAAAGCCCAUCGCUCAACGGUGGAACGGCCAUUGAUACUGCCAGACUUGAAUUAUUAGGAAGUAACUAGAAUAUGUAGUGUAGCGGUGAAAUGCUUAGAGAUUACAUGGAAUACCAAUUGCGAAGGCAGGUUACUACUAAUGGAUUGACGCUGAUGGACGAAAGCGUGGGUAGCGAACAGG